CCAGGCAGGGGGGGCAGAGACCAGGCAGGGGGGGGCAGAGACCAGGCAGGGGAGGGGGCAUCAGUUGGGCAGGUCGCCAGAGCUACUCCCGCGAGCUGUCUUGAGAUCGAGAGAGAUAUUUUGGAAUCCAGUUUUUAUUUUCGUUACCGUGACCCACUCCGGAUGAUUAACUGGCUGGCUGACUUACUAUGUGGUUGACCGGCUUGGGGUUGGCUGGCUGGCUGGCUGGCUGGUUGACUGGUUGACUGACUACAUGACUGGGUGACUGCAUGACUGACUGGCUGGCUGAGUUACUAUGUGGCUGACCGGCUUGGGAUUGGCUGGCUGACUGGUUGACUGGCUGGAUGAUUGGGUGACUGACUGGCUGGCUGGCUGGUUCACUGGCUAAGUUACCAUGUGGCUGACUGGCUUUGGAGUUGCCUGUUUAAGUGGUUGGCUGGCUGGGUUAAUAUGUGGUUGACCGGCUUAUGAGUUGGCUGGCUGGCUGGCUGACUGACUGAAUGGAUGAAUGGAUGGAUGAAUGGCUGUGUUUGGUUUGGUUGUUCACUUGGUUGGCUGUCUCGCUGGUUAUUUGGUUUCCAAGUACUACUACUACUACUACUACUACUACUACUACUACUACUACUACUAGUGUCCUUGGCUACCUACUGUUACGGUUGUGGUUUUGAGAAGAGGAAUAAGAGGAGGAAAAGGAGGAGGAGGAGGAGGAGGAGGAGGAGGAGGAGGAGGAGGAGAAGUUGAUUUGAUUUGUAUAUUAUUAUUAUUAUUAUUAUUAUUAUUAUUAUUAUGUUUAUGUUUAUUAUUGUAUAUUACUAUUUGUAUAUUAUCAUUAUUAUUACGUGUGUAUAUAUAUGAUCAUGUACUUUAAGUUAACCUGGUCUGUGUGUAUGUGUGUGUGUGUGUGUGUGUGUGUGUGUGUGUGUGUGUGUGUUUGCAGCUGCACCAACAUGUUGCAACUUUUUCGAGUUCUUGGCACGGGUGGGGGCGGCCAGGCCAGGUAACGGUGCGUGCCAGCUGGGAAGGGAAACAGAUGACUUGCGACGCUUGGAAAAGAGAGGAACACAGACCCUCGUCCACACAGGACCAGGAUAAGAAGGAACCGAAUAAAGAGAGCAAGAAAGAAGUUUGUUGUAAAGGCUAUUUCUCGACCGGCCCUGAACUAUAACCACCGAAGAGUCUGCAGGAAAGUGACGAAAAGAGAAAGAGAGAUAUAGAACUUUGACCACGAAAGACCAGGAAACGAAGAGACAUUAUAGAGAGAGAGAGAGAGAGGCCCGUUGUAUUCCUGGACCCUCAACUGAAUUAAAACCACCGAAGAAUUUACAGGAGAGUGACGAAAAAGAGGACACAAAACCUCGACCUCACAAGAAUGACCAAGGAAGUGACAUCAUAGAAAGUGAGGAAGAGAGGUCCGUUGUAAAGACUAUUCCUGAACCCUCAACUAAGCUAAAAUCACCGAAGAGUUAGCAAGAAAGUGACGAAAAAGGGAAGAUCCAUUAUAAAGCCAAUCUUCAGGAGCCUCAAGCAUACUAAAACCAAGCAGAUACAGACAAGAGAUUGACGAGAGAAAGAGACCAUUGUAUGAUAUAUAUACCAAACAAAAAUUUAUAAGGAGGCCACAAGGAGACCAUAUCUAGACCCUCAACAAAACAUGAACUCGUACUGAUAAAAAGAAUCUGUCAGUCAGUCAAUCAUUCAAGAAUACAACAACAAGAAUAUGGACUCACUCACUCACUCACUCACUCACUCUGCCUUGCUGACACACACAAUAGGAAUCUCUUUUUUGCCUCCCAUCAAGAAGGUUUUUAUGGUGAUUCUCUUGCCAUAAAUUCUUAGCUCACUGAUGUCUAUUAAGGCGAGAUUGAAAGAGCUUAUGCAAUGUUCGUUUCCUAAGCAUUGCGUCACCCCUUUGAUAUCUGGUUCACGAGGGCUUUGUGUUUGUGUGAGGGAAGGGAGGGGAAUGUGUGUGUGUGUGUGUGUGUGUGUGUAGUCAAGAUAUAACGUAAUUUACCUGUAAUUUGAGCAGUGGACAGGUAACUUGAUUGACUGAUUGACUGACAAAGAGUGAGAGUAUGAAACGGUGAGGAAGAGGAACUUGUCAGUCAGUCAGUCAGUCAGUCAGUCAGCAAGAAGAAGAAGAAGAAGAAGAAGAAGAAGAAAAAAAAAGAUGACCUACUUCACACACACACACACACACACACACACACACACACACACACACACACACACACACACACACACACACACACACACACACACACACACACACACACACACACACACACACUUUCAAAGCCCCAAUCAACACAAUAUGACAAACAGUGAACCAAAAUCCACUACUCACUCACCCUCUCACCUACUCACUAACUCAGCACACGCCCCACUAACCUGCUGACCUUGCCUUGCUGUCUACGUCGCUGUUACUGUCGGGGGUUGUUCUGGAAUGUGUGCUGUGUCCCUCCCCGCUCUCCGUCCCACUCCUCUUUCCUUCCCUUCCUCUCUCUGCGUCGUCUGGUAUAUCCAUGUAAUUCCUGCCCUCUUAGUCUUUACCUGACGUGGCGCUUCUGGUGUAUGUGUGUGAGGCUUCCCCGCGGCUUAGUUCUUGCGGCUCAUCCCGGAAUUUGCGGCGAAGGUUGAAAAAAUGUUUAUUGUACACCAUGGUGGGUUUUCGAGUCAUGGUGACCUCAGCGCCGCGGGGUGGAGUUCGGUGGAGUUGGGUGGCAAUGUGGGUACGGAUUUAAUCCACUGAGAGACGUGGGUUGAUGCUUGGUUGGCACGUGCACACACACACACACGCACGCACACACACGAGGAGGAGGAGGAGGAGGAGGAAGAGGAGAAGGAAAGAAAGCAGACAAGCAAAACAAGCCAAUCAUUCACACACACACACACACACACACACACACACACACACACACACACACACACACACACACACACACACACACACACACACACACACACACACACACACACACACGAGGAGGAGGAGGAGGAAGAAGAGGAAAAGGAAAGAAAGCAGACAAGCAAAACAAGCCAAUCAUUCACACACACACACACACACACACACACACACACACACACACACACACACACACACACACACACACACACACACACACACACACACACACACACACACACGCAAGAGAUGGAUGGGCCUGUCAGACGCAAUGAAAACCCAUCCAUCCUUACUGUCCCUUUCUCGACCCCUCGUAAAAACACUGUAAUAAUAAGUCCCCCCCCCCCCCCUCCUUUGUUUUGUAUAUAGACCUAUACCUGAACGUCCCUAUACUAUACACACAGCUCUCGGUAAUGUUAAGUCUUGUGUCCUACGAGUGAGUUUAGACAGUUUUAAUAUUCCUUCGCAGUUGGAGGUGAAAAAAUAUCUUGAUUAUUUUUAAGGUGUAGAUUUUAAGGAUAUUAUUGUACUCAGUGUAAGCAUGCGAGAGAGAGAGAGAGAGAGAGAGAGAGAGAGAGAGAGAGAGAGAGAGAGAGAGAGAGAGAGAGAGAGAGAAUAAUUACUCAGCAUCUCAUAUACUAAACUCUUAAUACCUUAUACGUCUCUAUCUGUCUCUCACACACAUUAGUAAAUAAACUCCUACUAAGACCUAACAAAGCAUCAUAACUCUAUUGUUUUAUAUAUUCAGAAUCCCUCGUCUAUUGUAACAUAAGGUAUCUGGUUAUAAGGAUGCUGAGUGAUCAUAUAUUGUCUAUUGUAUUUAUAAGGUACGUCGGAUCAGAUGCUCUCGGUUCUCCCAACAAGUAUUAUCAAAGUCCACAAAGGAGGUUAGUCGGGUUCUCAUGAGUGCUUUUUAACGUUCAUGGUGCAGAAGCCUUGUCUAACUAUCACUAAGCUCAUAAAACUACCCUUGGGAACACUAUCACAACCUCUACGAAAGCCUUAUCAAAUGUGAAUGUGUGUGUAGCCUUGUCAAACUAUCACUAGGCUCAUAAAACUACCCAUGGAAAUACUAACACAGCCUCUACGAAAGCCUUAUCAAAUGUGAAUGUGUGUAGCCUUGUCAAACUAUCACUAGGCUCAUAAAACUACCCAUGGAAAUACUAACACAGCCUCUACGAAAGCCUUAUCAAAUGUGAGUGUGUGAAGCCUUGUCAAACUAUCCCCAGGCUCAUAAAACUACCCAUGGAAAUACUAACACAGCCUCUACGAAAGCCUUAUCAAAUGUUGGUGUGUAAGCCCAGAAACGUUUAAGAUUAAGGACUUCAAAUUUUGGGUCAUUCACAAGCACACAUAUUUGACACGGCUUUCAUAGGAGUUCAGGGCAUUUCCAGGGCCAGCUUUAUGACCCUCGUGGUAGUUUGACCCUUCUUCUGCACCGUGAACCUAAAACAACACUCAUUAGAGCUCGAUUAAUCCCCUUUUUGCCCUUUUGAUAUAGUUGAUGUGAGAGAUGGAAGCGUCUGAGAAUCCCAUACUUAAUCUCUCUUCGAUGUUCACACUGAGUCGGAUCCGAUCUUUCCUGUACGUCGUAUUUACUCUCCGUGAUGGGUUGAUUCUGUCUCUGUACGUACGUAGGAUGGUGUUAGAUCCUAUAUUACCUCAUUACGUCUAUAUAUAGUAUCAUCAUCGUCAUCAUCUAAAUUAUUGUUGGUUCAGUCACAGAUGAUAAAAAAAAUAUAUACACUUCGUUCUUGAUUCUGUUAUUUUUGUAGAAAUAUAUAUUUAUCUGCAUCGGC